AGCAAAAUGAUGAAGCCAAAACUUUUCUGAAACUGAUGAGGAUAUCUUGUGUUUCAUAUGGUCUUCAAAGUUCUCUGAUUGCU
rfam:Glycine soja cultivar W05 scaffold1409_48, whole genome shotgun sequence.